rnacentral:rRNA from 1 species
UUCCGGUUGAUCCUGCCGGAGGCCAUUGCUAUCGGAGUUCGAUUUAGCCAUGCUAGUCGCACGAGUUCAUACUCGUGGCAGAUAGCUCAGUGACACGUGGCCAAACUACCCUAUGGAUCAGAACAACCUCGGGAAACUGAGGCUAAUUCUGAAUAAGGCUCCCUGCCUGGAAUGGCUUGAGCUGGAAACGCUACGGCGCCAUAGGAUGUGGCUGCGGCCGAUUAGGUAGACGGUGGGGUAACGGCCCACCGUGCCCAUAAUCGGUACGGGUUGUGAGAGCAAGAGCCCGGAGACAGUAUCUGAGACAAGAUACCGGGCCCUACGGGGCGCAGCAGGCGCGAAAACUUUACACUGCACGACAGUGCGAUAAGGGAACUCCGAGUGCGAGGGCAUAUCGUCCUCGCUUUUCUGUACCGUAGGGAGGUACAAGAAUAAGAGCUGGGCAAGACCGGUGCCAGCCGCCGCGGUAACACCGGCAGCUCGAGUGAUGGCCGAUCUUAUUGGGCCUAAAGCGUCCGUAGCCAGCUGAACAGGUCCGUCGGGAAAUCUGCUCGCUCAACGAGCAGGCGUCCGGCGGAAACCAGUCUGCUUGGGAUCGGAAGACCCGAGGGGUACGUCUGGGGUAGGAGUGAAAUCCCGUAAUCCUGGACGGACCACCGGUGGCGAAAGCGCCUCGGGAAGACGAAUCCGACGGUGAGGGACGAAAGCUAGGGUCACGAACCGGAUUAGAUACCCGGGUAGUCCUAGCCGUAAACGAUGCUCACUAGGUGUGGCACUGGCUACGAGCCAGUGCUGUGCCGUAGGGAAGCCGUGAAGUGAGCCGCCUGGGAAGUACGUCCGCAAGGAUGAAACUUAAAGGAAUUGGCGGGGGAGCACUACAACCGGAGGAGCCUGCGGUUUAAUUGGAUUCAACGCCGGA